rnacentral:rRNA from 1 species
GAUGAACGCUGGCGGCGUGCCUAAUACAUGCAAGUCGAGCGAACAGACGAGGAGCUUGCUCCUCUGACGUUAGCGGCGGACGGGUGAGUAACACGUGGAUAACCUACCUAUAAGACUGGGAUAACUUCGGGAAACCGGAGAUAAUACCGGAUAAUAUAUUGAACCGCAUGGUUCAAUAGUGAAAGACGGCUUUGCUGUCACUUAUAGAUGGAUCCGCGCCGCAUUAGCUAGUUGGUAAGGUAACGGCUUACCAAGGCAACGAUGCGUAGCCGACCUGAGAGGGUGAUCGGCCACACUGGAACUGAGACACGGUCCAGACUCCUACGGGAGGCAGCAGUAGGGAAUCUUCCGCAAUGGGCGAAAGCCUGACGGAGCAACGCCGCGUGAGUGAUGAAGGUCUUCGGAUCGUAAAACUCUGUUAUUAGGGAAGAACAAAUGUGUAAGUAACUAGGCACGUCUUGACGGUACCUAAUCAGAAAGCCACGGCUAACUACGUG